UUCACGAUUAUGUGCAUUGCAUUAUUUCUUGUAUUUGCGAACGGACAUAGAGCUUGUUUCAUUAGCCCUCCCAGUAAAGUCCUGAGGAGGCCCAUUGAGGGCCGGACACAGUAAAGUCCUGAGGAGCCCCGAGAGGGCCGGGCACAGAGUACUUUUGUACUAUUGAUUGUAUAAUAAAGUCCUGAGGAGCUCCUUCGCGGGCCGGACACUGAGGGAUUUUUUAUUCAGUCCGUUCGGUAUGUGAUUACUUGUGCUGUGAUGCAUUUCAUGUGAGCAUGUUUAUUAACAUGUUUUUAAUGUUCUACUCACUG
rnacentral:lncRNA from 1 species